rnacentral:rRNA from 1 species
UACGAAGGGUGCAAACGUUGCUCGGAAUUAUUGGGCGUAAAGCGCACGUAGGCGGCUUUGCAAGUCGGAUGUGAAAUCCCUCGGCUCAACCAAGGAAGUGCAUCCGAAACUGCAGAGCUUGAGUACUUAAGAGGAUCGCGGAAUUCCCGGUGUAGAGGUGAAAUUCGUAGAUAUCGGGAGGAACACCAGUGGCGAAGGCGGCGAUCUGGGAAGAUACUGACGCUGAGGUGCGAAAGCGUGGCGAGCAAACAGG